rnacentral:rRNA from 1 species
UACGAAGGGGGCUAGCGUUGCUCGGAAUUACUGGGCGUAAAGCGCACGUAGGCGGUCUUUUAAGUCGGGGGUGAAAUCCUGGAGCUCAACUCCAGAACUGCCUUCGAUACUGGAAGACUUGAGUCCGGGAGAGGUGAGUGGAACUGCGAGUGUAGAGGUGAAAUUCGUAGAUAUUCGCAAGAACACCGGUGGCGAAGGCGGGUCUCUGGGCCGUAACUGACGCUGAGGAGCGAAAGCGUGGGGAGCGAACAGG